UACGGGGGGGGGCAAGCGUUGUUCGGAAUUACUGGGCGUAAAGGGCUCGUAGGUGGCCAACUAAGUCAGACGUGAAAUCCCCUCGGCUUAACCGGGGGAACUGCGUCUGAUACUGGAUGGCUUGAGUUUGGGAGAGGGACGCGGAAUUCCAGGUGUAGCGGUGAAAUGCGUAGAUAUCUGGAGGAACACCGGUGGCGAAGGCGGCGUCCUGGACCAACACUGACACUGAUGAGCGAAAGCCAGGGGAGCAAACGGGG
rnacentral:rRNA from 1 species